GUUCUGGUCUUUUUUAUUUGCAUACUAUAUGCAAUAGGUCAACUAUAUAAGGUGUAUGGAAGUAUCUUGUGAUGUUCAUGUCAGGCAGUCAGGUAUAUUUGACCAUGAUCUCAUUUUUACUGAUCAAUGUUCAGUUGGUUUGGGGAUGUUUUUCUUAAAACAGUAGGUCAACUUUAUUUGAUGAAUGUAAUGAUUGUAAUGUGUAUAUGCCUGUCUGGCAGGUAUCAUUUAACCUUGACCUCUUUGUCAUGGUUUGAAUCAUUAGUCAAUCUAAAGUUUUCCUGGUUUAGUUUGUUUCUAAGAUACAAUAAGCAAUAUGUCAACUAUAUUUAAU
rnacentral:lncRNA from 1 species